rnacentral:tRNA from 1 species
GCAACUUUGGCCGAGCGGUUAAGGCGCCAGGUUAGUCAUCAAUUCUUUCAAUCCUUAAUUUGAACUCCACUAACAAUAUCAUAGACUCAAGAGAAUUACCUCUUUCACUGUGUCAGUGAAGCAUUCUGGUCUCGAAAGAGGCGUGGGUUCGAGUCCCACAGGUUGCA